CAGCGUCACGAGUGGCAACCAUAUUUAUUGGGCCUAAAGCGUCUGUAGCCUGUUUGAUAAGUCCUUUGUGAAAUCGUUGCGCUCAACGUAACGUUGUGCAAGAGAUACUGUCAGACUUGGAAUUGGGAAGAGUUAGAGGUAUUCUGGGGGGAGCGGUAAAAUGCUAUAAUCCCUGGAGGACCACCAGUGGCGAAAGCGUCUAACUAGAACAACUUCGACGGUGAGGGACGAAAGCCAGGGGCGCAAACCGGAUUAGAUACCCGAGUAGUCC
rnacentral:rRNA from 1 species